AACGAACGCUGGCGGCAUGCCUAACACAUGCAAGUCGAACGAUCCCUUCGGGGAUAGUGGCGCACGGGUGCGUAACGCGUGGGAAUCUGCCCUUGGCUUCGGAAUAACAGUUAGAAAUGACUGCUAAUACCGGAUGAUGUCUUCGGACCAAAGAUUUAUCGGCCAGGGAUGAGCCCGCGUAGGAUUAGGUAGUUGGUGAGGUAAAGGCUCACCAAGCCGACGAUCCUUAGCUGGUCUGAGAGGAUGAUCAGCCACACUGGGACUGAGACACGGCCCAGACUCCUACGGGAGGCAGCAGUGGGGAAUAUUGGACAAUGGGCGCAAGCCUGAUCCAGCAAUGCCGCGUGAGUGAUGAAGGCCUUCGGGUCGUAAAGCUCUUUUACCCGGGAUGAUAAUGACAGUACCGGGAGAAUAAGCUCCGGCUAACUCCGUGCCAGCAGCCGCCGUAAAAC
rnacentral:rRNA from 1 species